rnacentral:lncRNA from 1 species
CUAAAAGCGUUUGUGUAUUUUUUCAAGUCUCCCAAUAUGAGCAAUUGUUUCAUUUCCCAUGAAGCAGACUGGAAGCCCAACUAGACAUGAGUUGGUAGCAAAACCCUCUCAAAAUCUGCCACUACAGGAGAAACAAUAUGUUGCUGUAUCCAAAACAUCCAGAGGGGAAUUAUGCAAAGAGAUUACUCAGCGCUGGAGGAAAGUCUUGAUUUCAUGUUCCCAGCAUUGAUUUACAUUGGGAUUGCAACACUGACAUCUCUGCCUUGCGCCAUAGGAAAAGGCUUUUGCCUCCCCUGCAGCUGCUGCGGGCUGAGGCUUGACAUAACUGCCCUGAGCCACGAUGAACACGCGUGCAGCCCUGAAUGCAGUGGCACAGAGCCGACAUGAGCCUGCACCAGCAAUUCCAGCUGAGGCAGGUGGCCAGCAAAGGAAUUAAGCCCUGAUUCAAAGAACAACUGCCCCAAGCGCUCACCUUUCAGCUGUGCUUUCAGCUGCUCACGUGGCACCUUCUGAUCUGCUGGAAGGACCCCCCAUGGCAGAGGCUCCCUUGCUCCCUUGGCUGGGAUGAAGCGCCAUGGCCCCAGGCAUAUGGAGCACACUGAGACAAACUGAGCAGCCUUUUGGAAAUGUCUUGAGAUGGUUGGCAAUGGAGAGAGAUUGCAGUGCAAGCACUUUUCUGGAUUACUCUGUCACCUACGUCAAAUCAAAGCAUCAAGGAUAUAAAUCUUCAGUAAACAUCUGGCCUCACUUCAGCCAGGUUAUGCAAUGCCUCAAGUACAUUCAGCAGCAGAUUAUGCUGCGUUCUCCAUUUGUACAAUGCAAGCUAAUGUGAAUAUCAAGUCACAUCAGUGAUCUAGACAAGUGCUUUGGAAAUAAAGACAGCAACCCAAACUGGGAAGUUCGGCCU